UGGGGAGUAGCCAAGUGGUAAGGCACCUGCCUCUGGAGCAGGCAUACGGGGGUUCGAAUCCCUCCUCCCCAG
rnacentral:tRNA from 1 species